CCCUGUAUCGAAAGUGACUAUGGCAUGACUGUUGUCAUAGUCAUUGAUAGUACAGGAACAGUGAUUUUUGAAAGCUUUUCCCGUGUUUGUUGGCAUACCUGUUCCUGUCAAACCCUGUAUCUUUCAAACA
ensembl:snoRNA SNORA71 Small nucleolar RNA SNORA71